rnacentral:rRNA from 1 species
GACGAACGCUGGCGGCGUGCUUAACACUUGCAAGUCGAACGAAGAGCGAUGGAAGCUUGCUUCUAUCAAUCUUAGUGGCGAACGGGUGAGUAACGCGUAAUCAACCUGCCCUUCAGAGGGGGACAACAGUUGGAAACGACUGCUAAUACCGCAUACGAUCUAAUCUCGGCAUCGAGGAUAGAUGAAAGGUGGCCUCUACAUGUAAGCUAUCACUGAAGGAGGGGAUUGCGUCUGAUUAGCUAGUUGGAGGGGUAACGGCCCACCAAGGCGAUGAUCAGUAGCCGGUCUGAGAGGAUGAACGGCCACAUUGGGACUGAGACACGGCCCAGACUCCUACGGGAGGCAGCAGUGGGGAAUCUUCCGCAAUGGACGAAAGUCUGACGGAGCAACGCCGCGUGAGUGAUGACGGCCUUCGGGUUGUAAAGCUCUGUUAAUCGGGACGAAAGGCCUUCUUGCGAAUAGUGAGAAGGAUUGACGGUACCGGAAUAGAAAGCCACGGCUAACUACGUG